rnacentral:rRNA from 1 species
GACGAACGCUGGCGGCGUGCUUAACACAUGCAAGUCGAACGGAAAGGCCCUGCUUUUGUGGGGUGCUCGAGUGGCGAACGGGUGAGUAACACGUGAGUAACCUGCCCUUGACUUUGGGAUAACUUCAGGAAACUGGGGCUAAUACCGGAUAGGAGCUCCUGCUGCAUGGUGGGGGUUGGAAAGUUUCGGCGGUUGGGGAUGGACUCGCGGCUUAUCAGCUUGUUGGUGGGGUAGUGGCUUACCAAGGCUUUGACGGGUAGCCGGCCUGAGAGGGUGACCGGCCACAUUGGGACUGAGAUCCGGCCCAGACUCCUACGGGAGGCAGCAGUGGGGCAUAUUGCACAAUGGGCGGAAGCCUGAUGCAGCAACGCCGCGUGCGGGAUGACGGCCUUCGGGUUGUAAACCGCUUUCGCCUGUGACGAAGCGUGAGUGACGGUAAUGGGUAAAGAAGCACCGGCUAACUACGUG